UUGUGGAUGUCUUUCCUGCAUACCAUACUUCUCUCUUCACCGCUUCCCUCUCUCUCUCUCCUCUUCUUAGCAAUAAAUAGAAGGUAGCUUGAAAGUGUGAGUUGCCAGAGAAAUACAGAAGCUAUUUUCCUAUCAUAUAUGUUCGGCUUCAGUAGAAAAUGUAAACGAUUUCCCAUUUCUGGUACAUCCAGGUGUUGACCCUGCUGGUUUCGUUAAUAUGUCAUGAACGGUUCUUUAUAACCUUGUCUUCUAGUGAAGGUUGUGCAGCAGGGAACAGAGUUUCUGCAUCUUUACUUGUGUCUUAAUUUUGUAUCAAGAGUAACGAAUCUUGAUGAAGGUAUCAUCUAAGCCUCAAACAGUGUUAAAACUAUUUGAGGAUCACAUUAUCUUCUCGAGGUCGGUGGCAUGUUGCUUUAUUGUCUAAAUUUGAGGAUCGCAUUAUCAACAUACACCUCUAUGAUUUUGGCUAUCUGCUCUCAGAAUAUCUAGUCCAAUACUUUCUGAAAUGUAACUUCUGCAUUCUUCAAAUCGAAAGAAAUUACUUCAUAGCAUAAAUUUGUCUCA